rnacentral:rRNA from 1 species
UACGUAGGGGGCGAGCGUUGUCCGGAGUUACUGGGCGUAAAGCGCUUGUAGGCGGUCCACCAAGUUUGGGGUGACAGUUGCCGACUUAAUCGGCAAAGUGCCUCAAAGACUGGCGGACUUGAGGGCCACAGAGGGACAUGGAACUCCAGGUGUAGUGGUGAAAUUCGUAGAUAUCGAGAGGAACACCGGUGGCGAAGGCGGCCAACUGGACAGAUACUGACGCUGAGACACGAAAGCGUGGGGAGCAAACAGG